CCUACGGGAGGCAGCAGUGGGGAAUAUUGGACAAUGGGCGAAAGCCUGAUCCAGCCAUGCCGCAUGAGUGAAGAAGGCCUUUGGGUUGUAAAGCUCUUUUGUCAGGGAAGAAACGGUGGUAGCGAAUAACUACUACUAAUGACGGUACCUGAAGAAUAAGCACCGGCUAACUACGUGCCAGCAGCCGCGGUAAU
rnacentral:rRNA from 1 species